AAAUAGAUACCCAGGUAGUCCACGCCGUAAACGAUGAGUGCUAAGUGUUAGAGGGGUUUCCGCCCUUUAGUGCUGCAGCUAACGCAUUAAGCACUCCGCCUGGGGAGUACGGUCGCAAGACUGAAACUCAAAGGAAUUGACGGGGGCCCGCACAAGCGGUGGAGCAUGUGGUUUAAUUCGAAGCAACGCGAAGAACCUUACCAGGUCUUGACAUCCUCUGACAACUCUAGAGAUAGAGCGUUCCCCUUCGGGGGACAGAGUGACAGGUGGUGCAUGGUUGUCGUCAGCUCGUGUCGUGAGAUGUUGGGUUAAGUCCCGCAACGAGCGCAACCCUUGAUCUUAGUUGCCAGCAUUCAGUUGGGCACUCUAAGGUGACUGCCGGUGACAAACCGGAGGAAGGUGGGGAUGGACGUCAAAUCAUCAUGCCCCUUAUGACCUGGGCUACACACGUGCUACAAUGGAUGGUACAAAGGGCUGCAAGACCGCGAGGUCAAGCCAAUCCCAUAAAACCAUUCUCAGUUCGGAUUGGU
rnacentral:rRNA from 1 species